rnacentral:piRNA from 1 species
UGGGAACCCUAUCCCUGGAACAUGACAGC